rnacentral:lncRNA from 1 species
CCUGUUGGGUUGAGAAUUUAUAGUACUAGCCACUUGCCCUCGGUAAGCCCGGUCUUGUGAUUCCUCGACGAGAGCGGUUACUCGCGCACUGGGCGUGGAGCGAUGGCGAGAGUAGCGUGUAGGCUCCUAGCAAAUGGGCUAGACGGUGGAGUACUGUGCUCUCGGGUGCCGCGAACCCGAUCAGAUCUUGGGAAAGCUAGAUUUGGGUUGACAUAUGCAAGAUUCGGUUCUACAUGUGUCGGGUGGUUAAGAACUCCAGCUGGAUGUUAAGUGGUUCGAAUCGUCGUUGCUCCCCGAUUGGGAGACUGAAUCGACCCCCAUCGUAGUUAAAUAUGCAACUAAGUUAUGAACUGGGGAAAAGAAAAUGUCUCAUGAAGUUCGGAUCCCAAUUCACGGACUCAGAGUGACAUGAAGCUAUGGCCGUUGGAUGAAAUAACGCUUUUAUUAAGGAUUAGGGACUCACAUGACUGUCUGUGAAAAGCAACUAGAUAGACUGUCCUCGAAUUCAUCGG